rnacentral:rRNA from 1 species
UACGUAGGGAGCAAGCGUUGUCCGGAAUCAUUGGGCGUAAAGCGCGCGUAGGUGGCCCCGUAAGUCCGCUGUGAAAGUCAAAGGCUCAACCUUUGAAAGCCGGUGGAUACUGUGGGGCUAGAGUACGGAAGAGGCGAGUGGAAUUCCUGGUGUAGCGGUGGAAUGCGCAGAUAUCAGGAGGAACACCGGUGGCGAAGGCGGGUCUCUGGGCCGAUACUGACGCUGAGGAGCGAAAGCGUGGGGAGCGAACAGG